AAUAUGCAGGAAAAGGUUUACAUUCACUCAUCGUGUUGAACUAAAUUAAGAAACCAAUCAAAAUCAAUUAAAAGGUCAAAAGCAUCAAUGGAAUCUCCAAUAAAAAGAAAACUUUUUAAUUGAUCAGAAAGAGUUUUUUUUAUUUUUAAAAGUAAUGUUUUUAUUUUAGAAAAAUUCGCACACUUAACAGUCGCCAUCCUGAAAGAUUUCACAGAAGUAAAAACAAAAUCAACAAAAAUUUCUCAAGCAACUCUAGAAUUAUGCAAAGAACGUGGCUACUUUUUAUCAAAAACAGUUGAAGCUAGACUUUUGAAUAUAAACGAUCUUGUAACCGUUGAUGCACGAUAUCACAUUUAUUGCCGUGCAAAAUUUGGAAGACCUAUAACUACAUCAAGCUCUGGAAGACCUACUUCAACAGAAAGUCUUUAAUGCAGCAUACUUAAAACUCGAGGAAGAUAUUGAUCUUUACACAGUGUUUUAGUUUUAGGAAAUGAUGCAAACAUUAGGAGAAGAAAUAUAUUCCCUUUAAAUGACUCAAAAUAAGAUUAAAAUAAAAUGAAGAUUCUAUGCAAUUGGUCUCACGACAAGGUAAAAGUUACCGUUGAUAAUGUACUUUCUUCAAAGUGGCUAAAUAUUCUACUUGCUAAACUGGGUUUUGCAUCAAGUUACGAGGAGGUAAUUCGUUACAAGCAGAACAUAGUGAAGCACUAUAAAAUUAACGAUAUUUCUUGAAGGUACCCUAAAGAUACAAAUACCCUGAAGGUACAAAAUCUAUUCAGUUUGUUGGGGAUAUUACAAUUUAGCGACAGUCAAUAGUAAAAACACACAUCACCGACUAAGUUCUAUAUCAAUUGCAAAUGGAAAUGUAAUUGGGCACACAAAUAAGAAAAGAUUACGUAGGGUUAAAAAAAAAAGUUGGUCUAACAUAAACUUUGACAACCAGAUUAAAAUGUCUCAGUUUUCCAGUUGACGUUCCGGUUUUAUCUCAAAUAUAAUUUCAAGAAUUUACAAUGGUAUUUACAUAACUAAGCUGUUUAGUAGGGUUUUCCCAAAAAAAAUAUUUUGUGCGCCAUCAAAAAACUAGCUCUUAUAUGUAAAAAGACAAAAUAUGUAAAAAAUAUUAAUCUGAGACAAGUGUAAGAGCAUGGUGUCAAAAACAAAAAAUGUCAGUUUUUGUCAUAUUUUUUAAGUUUUUGUUAUGUUAAAUGUACCUGCAAUGAGAAAAAGGAUAAAAUUUA